CACCAGGUAAGAGGCGGCUUUGUUAUCUCUGUUUUAUAAUUAACCUUUAUUACUUACCAAGAUAAAAUUAAAUUAUACUAACAUACUGUUUUGUCUAAGCAAAGUAUCUGAUCGCAUGGCCUGUCCUGUCUGUUUGUUGAUGCGAUCCUCUUGGAGCAGAUGCUUAUAAACAUGUAGACAUUUAAAAACGUAUUGUACCAUUUGGAUAUGUCACACGAGAAGUCUUUAAACUUUGAAUUAAUCACAGAAAACAUAAUGAAUUUAGAAUUAUGUCAGAUUUCAUAAAGUACUGCGAUUUUUUACAUUCUCUUACAUUUACUAUAAUCUACUGAUCAGUCCAACUUCUCUUAGAACUAACAGAUAAAACCAACAUUUCUUCUUUAGAUUGAUUCAUCACACCACAUGAAUAACAUUGAUACCAUUUAUUAAAAUAUAAGAUUCUGGUUUAAAAUAAACUGACCAUGGUCCUUCUACCUGCCCUGCUUAUUCUCUGGGCUGUUCCCCUUUCAAGUGGUACAGGUCAACUAAGAAAAUUCUACUUAAAAACAAAUGCAGAUAAAUGAUGCACUGAAUGCUUGUAGAUGUAACUACACUGACCUCGUCACAAACUAUGAUGACAAUGACAAUGGAUCUACAGUAUGUAUAGUGGCUGGAUUGGAGUCAACAGCUGUACAUGGUGAUCCAGUCACAUUCAACAACAUCACCAGAAAUUUUACUGAGGAAAGCUGCUGUGGUGCACUAACCACUGAUGGAACAUGCGGGUGUUUCAAAUAGUUCAAAAAUGCUUCAUGUGUUAUAAACUACUUUACUGUCUAUCUUAUAAAUAUCCAAAGAUUAUGAGUAAAACUAGUGUCUAUUCUUGCAUUCAUACAGAUUGGCAACAAUCAUUCAACUAUAGUUUAAUCCCUAAAAAUAAAACCUGGUUUGAGGCUCAGCAGCACUGCAGAAAGAAUCACACUGAUUUAGUCAGUAUCAGAAAUCAGAGGAAAAAUUAACGAGUGAAUGAAGCAGUAAAUUGGAGUAACUCUAUCUAGAUUGGCCUUCGGUAUAAUUACAGCCUUGCAUGUUUUACUGGAUGGACAUUCUGGUUACAAAAAAAUACAUAUUGUGAGACGAGAAACUAAGCAUACAGGAUGCUUUACAUUUCUCUCAAAACAACCACCGGAAUCUUGGUCCAUAAGUAAUCUGAAUACCUGUGGUGCUCUUUGAUACAGAAGAAAGCUUCAUUCAUGUCAGUUCUUAUAAAAUGUCCUGGGAGGAAGCUCUGGAUUACUGCAACAGCAACUUUUCUGGACUAUUGCGCAUCGAGUCUCAGGAUGAUCAGAUAGAAACAGAGUGAGAGCUCAAAAGAUCUAAAAAUAAUAUUUCAGAGCCUGUGUGGGUGGGGCUUAGACAGAGCCGACCUUUCUGAUUCACUAGAAGCUAGUUGGUAUUGCUGUACUUACCUGUAGUGUUUCUGUUGCUUUUUUCAUGUUUAUCUCAUUGAUUGAUUCAUUUUAUUAUUUUGUUGUAAACCUUUAUGCCUCAUACCAAGAAUUAACAUUAAAAGUUGUUCAUG
ensembl:lncRNA